UUCUUUUCCUUUCGAACGUUAUCACAAACACUCCAUAUUCUAAAUUAUUUUGUAAGAAAAAAAUAUUUCUCUAUUUGAAAAAAUGAAAGCCGAAAGGACGAAGAAGCUCUAUAUAUUUGUUAUUAGUUUCUUUAAUAAAUUUCCAGCUAUUUGAAAAUAAGCUCCAUUUUUCAAGUUGAUAUAUCAUUUUGAUGUCUUGGUAAUGUAUGGUUCACCGGAGCAUACAUUUAAGUUUUUUUGCUAUAUUGUGGACAAUUCAAAAAUAUUUACAGGACCUCUUAUUCAAUUCAACUUCUAUUAGACUUCUUGUUCAACUCAUCUCCUGAUAUGAUGAGUGUUAUCCACUCCUGUUUACAUGUAGAGUUAUCUUAUCAAUAACUUGUCUGCAGCUAAGCUUUGUUCAGUUGGUUGGACCAGCUUUCACGACAUGUUUUAAUCAUAUGUCUAUCAUCAAAACUCCAUAUGCCCUAACAUGUUGUUCUAUUGAUAUGAAUGGGUGAGGUUUAUUUUCUGGGAGCUGGAUGAAGGAUGUCGUGAAUAGGUCUAAUAUAUAUGGUUUACUUUUAGCUCAUAUUAGUAAGUGGGGUUUCACUGUAGUGAAGCAAAGGCUGAAACCUCCUAUUGAUUUUGUCAAUAUGUAUGAGUAUGUCUUUAUAUCUGUUUUAUUGCAGGUCAUUAUUUUUGGUAUAUCUCCGACAUAAAUCACCGUAUAAAUAAAGCUUAUUAAUUCAUAAUAUAGUUGAAAUGACAAUACUUCAUGCAUGUUACAAUUGAGCAGCAACUUCAGAACUUAUAAUUGGUUAAAGUGAAACUUCUGGU